rnacentral:lncRNA from 1 species
GGAAACAGUGAUCGAUCUAGAAGAUUGAUGUACGAUUAUUUUUUUUAGAUAGAUGAGUCUGGAGUCUACGGUGUGGAGACAUCAGAGUAAAAGUAUAGAUGUUUGUUAAGAACAAGGGUACUGAAUAUGAUCAUUUACGAACAGUCAUAAAAAUAUCUAUUUUUUCGUCAGUGACAUGUUCAUAGCUAUAGUUGUGUAUUUAGUUCUCUGAUCUGAGAUGCAUCGGUAGUUC